rnacentral:rRNA from 1 species
GAUGAACGCUGGCGGCGUGCCUAAUACAUGCAAGUCGAGCGAACGGACGAGAAGCUUGCUUCUCUGAUGUUAGCGGCGGACGGGUGAGUAACACGUGGAUAACCUACCUAUAAGACUGGGAUAACUUCGGGAAACCGUAGCUAAUACCGGAUAAUAUUUUGAACCGCAUGGUUCAAAAGUGAAAGACGGUCUUGCUGUCACUUAUAGAUGGAUCCGCGCUGCAUUAGCUAGUUGGUAAGGUAACGGCUUACCAAGGCAACGAUGCAUAGCCGACCUGAGAGGGUGAUCGGCCACACGGGAACUGGGACACGGUCCAGACUCCUACGGGAGGCAGCAGUAGGGAAUCUUCCGCAAUGGGCGAAAGCCUGACGGAGCAACGCCGCGUGAGUGAUGAAGGUCUUCGGAUCGUAAAACUCUGUUAUUAGGGAAGAACAUAUGUGUAAGUAACUGUGCACAUCUUGACGGUACCUAAUCAGAAAGCCACGGCUAACUACGUG